UUACGGUCAUAUCACGUUGAAACACCUAUUCUCGUAUGAUCACUGAAGUUAAGCAACAUCGAGCCUGAUCAGUAUCUCGAUGGGGGACCGCUUAGGAAUACCAAAUGCUGUAAG